GAAUCACUAGGCAGCGUUUGGUUAGAGGAUAGGGAUAAAAAUAGACCCUUAUCCCCCUUUAUAUCUAAACGUUAAUUUUUUAUUCGAAAAAUAGUAGUUCUUGGUUAUCCCCAUCGAUACCACCAUUUUCUAUAUAAAACUAUCUAAAAUUGUUUUUAUCCCUGGGAACAACCCAAUUUUCAUCCAAACACUAUUUUUCUUAUCCCCAUACUUGUACCUAUCCCUGUAAUAGCUAGUUCUUGCUUAUACCCGAACCAAACGGUACCCUAGGGUAUUGAUAGUAUCUAGCAAAUAAAUUUUAAAAUUUUUUAUUAUUUAUUUAUAUAGUGAUCGAAAGUGUUUAAAAUCAACCGCUGAAAAUAAAAAUCUUAUAAAAAAUAAUAAUAUGAUACCAAAAUUUUAGAUCAAAAUAUUAAUUUUAUUUUAUAUAAUAUAAAAAGGUUUCUGUUAAACAUUUUACAUGAUUUCGAUAUUUUAUAUUAUUAAACUUGCAAAUCACUCAUCAUGAUAAUUAAAAUAGUUGAUCUUAGACCCCUUCAAUUACUAAAUAAAAGAUAUAGAAAUAUUGCAAAAUUUAAUUUUUAAACUUUUUUAAUAUUCUAUAUUAAAUAUAAAAAAAUCGUUCAUCGGUUGAUUCAGAAGUCACAGCA
rnacentral:lncRNA from 1 species